AUGUAUAACGACCAUCACAAUCUUUUUGGGGAUCUUGCAUAUGAAGUCAAAGAUUUUCUGCAUGGCAAGCCUCUUUGGGAGGAUUAUUAUAUCCACUGGACGUACUAUCAUAUGAAUUUCACUGCAAAGACCAGAGGAUCUUAUGGUGUUGACACUAGCAACCUAUUCUUUGCUGAAGUCAAAUAUAAUCGAGGAGAUGAUGGAUUGACGGUGAACAGUUGCUGUAUACUUGAACCUUCUUCUUAUCAUGGCCUCUGCUAUGGUUGUGGAGGUGAUAUGAAGCACCCCAAUGAUGGUAAUGCAUAUGCUUGUGGUCGGCGGAACAUCUCGUAUCAUUUUCAGAAUGGUGCACCUGAACUACCUCCGGACUACUUCGAUGACCGCUACAAUGAGAACUCUGAUGAAGAGGUGGAAAGACUGAGAUUUCAGUUCAAGGUAAUGGCGUAUUCCUAG
rnacentral:rRNA from 1 species